AGAACGAACGCUGGCGGCGUGCUUAACACAUGCAAGUCGAGCGGUAAGGCCUCCUUCGGGGGGUACACGAGCGGCGAACGGGUGAGUAACACGUGGGUGACCUGCCCUCAGCUCUGGGAUAAGCCUGGGAAACCGGGUCUAAUACCGGAUGGGACUGCUUGCCGCAUGGUGGGUGGUGGAAAGUUUUUUCGGCUGGGGAUGGGCCCACGGCCUAUCAGCUUGUUGGUGGGGUGAUGGCCUACCAAGGCGGUGACGGGUA
rnacentral:rRNA from 1 species